AAACCGCUGGGGCAGAUUAUAACUAUCCCAACUGGCCAUCAUUCCCGGCCCCAGAUGAUUUUUAAAAAUUCGUUGACUAUGCAUGUAACAUAUAUGUAUCCAAGUCUCACCUGUAUCAGUUACAAUUACCAUUUGAGCCCAAAUCCCUAUUUCUAUUGAUGGACUAUCAAACCCUUUUCUAUCUCACCACCAAAACCCUAGUUUUGUCUAAAAAAUGGCGGAUCAGAUCGAGCUCAAUCGAACCUCUCUUCCCCUUCCCUAUCAGCUUCAGGCGAAGAGGAAGGGCUCCGGAGUGAGGACCUGGUUUGUCGUCUCAAAAUUGGGGAACUCUCGAAUUGAAGAGCUUGGGAAGCAAGCGAUCAUUCUGAGGAGUGGAGUUCAGGCUCAUGAUUUGAGGGUUUUUGAACCAGAGCUCUCGAACCCCUCUGCCAUUCUCCGAAGGGAGAGGGCUAUUGUUGUGAACUUGGAACAUAUUAAAGCGAUUAUAACUGCGAAUGAAGUUCUGGUACCAAACCCUAAAGGCCCUUUUAUGGGUUCAUUUGUUUGUGAUCUCGAAUUCAAGCUCUCUGAUUUUGGUGCCAACAUGGUAAGCAAUAAAGCUAUGGAGCAAUCACCCUCAAAUAUGCCACCAGAGGCAAGUGAUAGGAGUCAUAAAUCACCAGCUGAAUGGUCAAUAGGGGCAACUCAAAGCCAUUACCAUUUGAGUUCAGAGCUUUUGAGAUUUGCCUAGAAUCUGUCUGCAGGAGCCUUGAAUCUGAGACUUCCACAUUAGAAGAAGAAGCAUAUCCGGCUUUAGAUGAGCUAUCAGCUAAAACCAGUACGCUUAAUCUCAAACACGUGAGAGUCAUAAAAGGUCGUUUGGUUGCUUUGUCUGGGCGUGUGCAGAAGGUGAGGAGUUUGAACAUCUACUGGAUGAUGACUUAGAUAUGGCUCAAAUGUACUUGACUGAUAGGCUUGCCACCUUGCAAUCUGAAGGUUUAGAAGAUGAACUAGAGAAUGAUGCAAAUGCAUUUAAAUCGGGCAAUGAUAGUGAUGAGGACAUGAGCGGCAAAAGCAGUAAUAUAGAUGUAAGUGAUCUCAAACCAAAUGUUGAAGAGUUGGAAAUGCUAUUGGGAGCCUACUCUGUGCAAAUAGAAGGAAUAUUAAACAAACUAUCGACAGUAAGUUAAACUUCUCUUUGUUUUUACUUUUUAGAUAAUGCUAUGCUACUUCUAAUCCCUAAAGUAGAUUUGUUUGGUUAUUUGGAAACUUUAGAGGAAAAAGAAGAGUUAGGAGGGAUGAAAUGCACAGCAGAGCAGAGGGUACUCUCUUUGUCUGUCUGUUCGGUUGAGCAAAAUGUGUUACUUUGUUUCACCGAAAUAUUUUUAUUUAUCGGUGAAAAGGGUGUUUAUUUGAAGGGGGAAAAAUGUGAGUAAAAUGUUUCCCUUUUUCCCUUCUUCCCUUCUUUCUCUUCAUUUAU